UAACGCUUUAAGUUGUGUUCUAUUGAAAGGAUCUAGCUACAUGCUAACGAGAGCUCGACUCGGCGGAAGCAUAAAUACUUCAGCGCGGAAGGAUACAUGAGUGAAUCGACAGUGAUCCAACUGUCAGUCUCCGUCAGUGUCGAUCAAAGUCGGGAGGAUGGCGCUUGGACAUUUAGCAACGGAGGAUUUAAUCACGGGCUUACUUCGUUUUGGAAUAAAGGUCACUGAAGAGGAGCGAAGUAAAUUCAAAGAUAAUGAAGUUGACGGAGAAGCAGUGGACUAUGGAUUGACUGAGAGGAUGGUUUCAUACCUCUUUGAAGGAUCGUUUAAGAAGCAAGCCAAAUUCAACCGAUUUGUACAGCAGUGGAAAGAAACCGUGACACUAACCGUUGAGCCUGUCCCGGUACAUUCAGAGAAGGCUACAGUGGAAUCAAGAAUGAAUAUCUGCCGAAGAUUUUAAGAUGGCUUUAAGAUCCUAGUACCCACAGUGCUUAGACUGACUCAAAGGAAAUCUCCCCUUGCAGAUCUGGCUUUGGAGGAAAGAGAGGCUGCCCUCACCGAAGAUGUCCCUGGGAUUGAUUUCAGAGCUGCAAUCCUGCUGUUGCCGAUCCUGUUCAGGGAGAAAAAUGACAUUCUCAUCAUACUUGGAGAGGAUCAGCCUGGUUGUAGCGCUAUCCUAUUGCAUGCAGAGGGAGUUUGAAAGACAACCGUUUAUCUCGCCCCUCGGAUUGAGCCCUGUCAAUGGAGAGUUCCCAGACUCAACAUCUUGAUUUGGUCUGGCCAAGCCUCCAGGAAGAGCGCCGAGUCUAAAAGCCACCAUGGG